rnacentral:rRNA from 1 species
UCCUACGGGACGCAGCAGUGGGGGAUAUUGGACAAUGGGGGAAACCCUGAAGCAGCAACGCCGCGUGGAGGAUGAAGGUUUUCGGAUUGUAAACUCCUUUUGUUAGAGAAGACAAUGACGGUAUCUAACGAAUAAGCACCGGCUAACUCCGUGCCAGCAGCCGCGGUAAUACGGAGGGUGCAAGCGUUACUCGGAAUCACUGGGCGUAAAGAGCGCGUAGGCGGGAUAGCAAGUCAGAUGUGAAAUCCUAUGGCUUAACCAUAGAACUGCAUUUGAAACUGUUAUUCUAGAGUAUGGGAGAGGUG